rnacentral:lncRNA from 1 species
GCGGCCUACGAAACCUCUCAUGAAUCUGAUGCCCUAGUGCAAGUGUGCAAACUGAAGCCAACCCACACACCACACACACAUAUAUAUACAGAGUUCCUUCCAUUUUUCUUUUGAAAGCUGCAGGGUGCUCUUCUUCUUCUCUAGGUUGAUCUUAUAUCAUCUGAGAGCUCCAAACUAAAGCCUGCAGCCAUGGAUCUGAUGGAGAAGUCCAGACGAGCAAAUUUCUUGUUCGACGACAACGACGGAGAUGAGGAUCAAAACGACAAACAAAAUAAGGGAGAGGCUAAUAAGGACAAGAAGGGAUCAACUCCAAACAAAGAGAAGUACACAAGUCGUGGACUACCAAACGGCACUAGUAAGGAUCGCUCCUCCGGGUUGCUGGCAAGCUUGCUGUGUUGUUGUCGACCGCGGCGGAAUUAACUAAGUCCUAGUACAAAAUGAGACACACAUCCUAGUUCUACGAUUCGGGAUUUGAGGUAUAUAUGCUCAGACUGUAUUAUAUACUAAGUUGUUAUGUUUUAGGAUGUCGGAUUUUGAACCAGCUGUGAUUUGAUCUUAUAUGUACUAGUGGCACCGCCGGUUACCGGUGAUUACCAAUUACGCUCAUGUGUGUUAAGUUAACCAUGCAUACAUGAAUGUAGAGACUGGGAUGAAUAUGUUGAUUAUUAUCUUAAAAGAAAUUAGAUAGUACUACAUGUGAUUGUGUGUAUGUGUGUUUAAUUAGAUAUUAAUGUUAUGCAAGAAUAUUGUACUAUCGCCAUAUAUAUAAUCGAUCUUUCUCCU